CAAGAAUUAGAAUUACCCGAUUCGAUCACGACAAGUUGUAAUAUGAUUACAUCUUGCUCUAGGGCCUUAUUCGGGUCCAUUAGUUUAAUAAUUUUAUCUUGAGCGGGCGCCUUCCUCCGGGUAUAGGCCGCUAGCACUACCAGUCUCGGAGUUCUGUCGAUGUGGUUGGCAUGGAUACCGGUAGAGGCGUGACACAUUGAGCGCUUGGUUUGGCGAGCCGACAUCAGUUCUGCGCAAUAAGAUCGCGCCCAGGCGCGUGAUUCUCACAAGUAGAGGUUGGGGUUUUGGAGGAACGGGAACUGCAAGGACUUAUUACUAUUGUGCUCGUGCGGGCCAUAUCAAAAGCUCAUGUUGGCCACUGCAUAGGUACUCGACCAAUUGGGAAUCAAACCAGACGAAGGACGGGGGGAAGAAGCCAUUCAUAGUAGCAGUUCAGAGGAAUUAUGGCAGAUCAACAGUAGUAGUUUAGAGGCAAGGGCUGGGGCCAAGUGGCUCGAAGUAAUUUGGUGGGCUUCAGGCAUCAAGCCCAACUCGGAUAAUCCAGGAAUAGGCUAGACAGGUUCUCACGUCUCUCGGAGAAAGCAUUCCAGAAGCUGCUUGAUUUUCUUGGUCCCGAUAACAAUAACGUGCCUCCUAAAUACCGAUAAAGAUUUUAUUCCGGUAAAGCUUGGGCAUAAUUGGAUAAUUGAUAGCGGAGCGUUUAGGCAUAUAACUGGUCGUGCGGAUUUUCUUGUUGAGUCGCAUUUGCUUGCAAAUAGGUCGAGGAUUCAUAUUCCGAAUGGGGGAGGUUCUGAUGCAUGUAGAGCUGGACGAGUCCACAUUGGUUCUCUUAUUCUCUCGGACGUCUUAUUAAUUCCCGAAUCUAAUUGCAAUCUCGUUUCCACUUCCUAAUUAUCCAAGGACCUAGAUUGUUUUGGGAUAUUUUACAACGAUUUUUGCUUAAUACAGGACCGUGCCACGAGGAGGAUGAUUGGAGUGGGUGAGCAUCAAGGGGGUGUGUACUAUCUUCGACGUGUGGUUAUUCAGGGGCCGGCCAAUCGAGCCAUCAGUGAUGAGGCGAAUGAUUUAUGGCACAUGCAACUUGGGCACCCAUCACGGCUAAUUAAGAUUAAUGGUAUUGAUUUAGAAUUGAGUGCAACUAUGAAUAAGGAGUGUGAUAUUUGUCUGCGGGCUAAAUAAACUCGAACAAGUUUUGACUCGAGUACAAAUAAAGCUGUUUUUCCAUUUCAAUUAA